UACAGAGGGGGCAAGCGUUAUUCGGAAUUAUUGGGCGUAAAGGGCGCGUAGGCGGCUUUGCAAGUGGCGGGUGAAAUCCCCCGGCUUAACCGAGGAACUGCCUGCCAGACUGUGAGGCUUGAGACCGGGAGAGGUGAGUGGAAUUCCCAGUGUAGCGGUGAAAUGCGUAGAUAUUGGGAGGAACACCAGUGGCGAAGGCGGCUCACUGGACCGGAACUGACGCUGAGGCGCGAAAGCGUGGGGAGCAAACAGG
rnacentral:rRNA from 1 species